rnacentral:rRNA from 1 species
UACGGAGGGUGCAAGCGUUAAUCGGAAUUACUGGGCGUAAAGCGUGCGUAGGCGGUUCGUUAAGUCAGAUGUGAAAGCCCUGGGCUCAACCUGGGAACGGCAUUUGAAACUGGCGGACUAGAGUUUAGUAGAGGGGAGUGGAAUUUCAGGUGUAGCGGUGAAAUGCGUAGAUAUCUGAAGGAACACCAGUGGCGAAGGCGACUCCCUGGACUAGAACUGACGCUGAGGUACGAAAGCGUGGGUAGCAAAC